rnacentral:rRNA from 1 species
CACGUAGGGAGCAAGCGUUGUCCGGAUUUAUUGGGCGUAAAGAGCUCGUAGGCUGUUCGAUAAGUCGGGUGUGAAACCUCCAGCUCAACCUGGAGACGCCACCCGAUACUGUCAUGACUAGAGUUCGGUAGGGGAGACUGGAAUUCCUGGUGUAGCGGUGAAAUGCGCAGAUAUCAAGAGGAACACCAGUGGCGAAGGCGAGUCCCUGGACAACACCUGACACUGAGGCACGAAAGCUAGGGGAGCAAACAGG